AUUCAUAUAGUUUAAUUUAAAACCCUUUAUUUUCAUUAAAAAAAUAUCCUAAGAGAUUUAUGAAUG
rnacentral:tRNA from 1 species